UACAGAGGGGGCAAGCGUUGUUCGGAAUUACUGGGCGUAAAGGGCUCGUAGGCGGCCAACUAAGUCAGACGUGAAAUCCCCAGGCUCAACCUGGGAACUGCGUCUGAUACUGGUUGGCUUGAAUCCGGGAGAGGGAUGCAGAAUUCCAGGUGUAGCGGUGAAAUGCGUAGAUAUCUGGAGGAAUAUCGGUGGCGAAGGCGGCAUCCUGGACCGGCAUUGACGCUGAGGAGCGAAAGCUAGGGGAGCAAACGGG
rnacentral:rRNA from 1 species